rnacentral:rRNA from 1 species
GAACAACCUGCCCUCGGGUGGGGGAUAACCCCGGGAAAACUGGGGCUAAUCCCCCAUAGGGGAUGGGUACUGGAAUGUCCCAUCUCCGAAAGCGCUUAGCGCCCGAGGAUGGGUCUGCGGCGGAUUAGGUUGUUGGUGGGGUAACGGCCCACCAAGCCGAAGAUCCGUACGGGCCAUGAGAGUGGGAGCCCGGAGAUGGACCCUGAGACACGGGUCCAGGCCCUACGGGGCGCAGCAGGCGCGAAACCUCCGCAAUGCGGGAAACCGCGACGGGGUCAGCCGGAGUGCUCGCGCAUCGCGCGGGCUGUCGGGGUGCCUAAAAAGCACCCCAUAGCAAGGGCCGGGCAAGGCCGGUGGCAGCCGCCGCGGUAAUACCGGCGGCCCGAGUGGCGGCCACUUUUAUUGGGCCUAAAGCGUCCGUAGCCGGGCUGGUAAGUCCUCCGGGAAAUCUGGUCGCUUAACGAUCAGACUGCCGGAGGAUACUGCCAGCCUAGGGACCGGGAGAGGCCGGGGGUAUUCCCGGGGUAGGGGUGAAAUCCUGUAAUCCCGGGAGGACCACCUGUGGCGAAGGCGCCCGGCUGGAACGGGUCCGACGGUGAGGGACGAAGGCCAGGGGAGCGAACCGGAUUAGAUACCCGGGUAGUCCUGGCUGUAAACGAUGCGGACUAGGUGUCACCGAAGCUACGAGCUUCGGUGGUGCCGGAGGGAAGCCGUUA